AUGACCGGGGCAGACCUGGCACCAGUAAUGGAGUUGAAGGCUGUGGCAAAUGGAGGAACACCCACUGAAGUUGUUGCUUCUGAUAAGAAGGAUAAUACCAAGAUGGAAGAGGCUGGCGAGAGCAAGGAUGUUGCAGUAGCGAAUACCAAUGCUGACCAACAGAAUAAAGCCUCAGAAAACGGCGCUAAGGGCUCAUCUGAUGAUGAUGCCAAGAUGGAGGAGGCUGAAGAUGCAAAGGAAGAUGAUGUGGGUGCUGUGAAGCAGGCAGGUACAGAGGAUGUCAAAUCAGGUGACAGUGCGGAUGCCAAGGAAGGUAAUGGCGCCAAUGCAGCAGAACAUGAGGAUUCCAAAACGGCUGCUAUUGAGGAUGUAGUUGCAAAGGAAGAUGACAACACCAAGUCAGCAGAACACAAGGACUCCAAAAUGGUUAUUGUAGAGGAUGCAGAUGCAAAGGAAGAUGACAAAGCCGCCAAGGCAGCAGAACACGAGGAUUCCAAAACGGCUGGUAUCGAGGAUGUAGUUGCAAUGGAAGAUGACAACACCAAGUCAGCAGAAUACAAGGACUCCAAAAUGGUUAUUGUAGAGGAUGCAAAUGCAAACGAAGAUGACAAAGCCAAGGCAGUAGAACACGAGGAUUCCAAAGCGGCUGGUAUUGAAUAUACAGUUGCAAAGGAAGAUGCCAACACCAAGUCAGCAGAACACAAGGACUCUAAAAUGGUUAUUGUAGAGGAUGCAGAUGCAAAGGAAGACGACAAAGCCAAGGCAGCAGAACACGAUGAUCACAGAACAGGUGGUGUGGCAGCAGAACGCAAGGAUCACAGAACAGGUGGUGUGGAGGAUGCAGAUGCAAAUGAAGACAUUAGCGCCAAGGCUGAAGAGUGCAAGGUUGGCAACAUGAAUACUGUAGAUAAUGCAGAUGUAAAGGAAGAUGAAGAUGCCAAUGAAGACAUUGGCGCCAAGGCUGAAGAGUGCAAGGUUGGCAACAUGAAUACUGUAGAUAAUGCAGAUGUAAAGGAAGAUGAAGAUGCCAAUGCAGCAGAACAUGAAGAUGCCAAAAUGGUUGAUGUGGAUGAUGCAGAUGCAAAGGAAGAUUAUGGCACCAAGGUAGCAGAACAUGAGGAUGUCAAAAUGGGUGCCGUGGAGGAUAUUGAUGCAAAGGAAGAUAACAACACCAAGGCAGCAGAACAUCAUGAUAUCAUAAUGGGUGUGGUAGAGCAUGCAGAUGUAAAAGAAGAUAACAGUUCUAAUGUAGCAGAAUGCGUGGAUGUCAAGAUGGCGGAGGCUGAGACCAAGCCAGGAGAUGCAGAGCUCGAAGACAAAGGGCACAAGGAAGAAAUGGAUGUGAACACAGAGGUCAAGAAGGGACCGAAAGAUGCAGAUCAAUGUGGUUCUGAGAUGCAUGAUGAAUUGAAUGGGCAAGGAAAGAAUGGAGCGGCUCGGCAGCAAGAAAAUAAAGCUGAAGAAAUGAGUGAUGAUGAUAGUCAAGGGGAAGUGGAAGUGGAAGAAAAGGGCUCUUCAGAUAAGAAAGAGGAAGGAGGGGAUGGUAAGGCAAACGAGAAUGAAGAAAAGCUAGAAAAAGAAAGUGCGAACAAGGAAGGAAAAGAUGGCAAGGUAACAGAAGAGGAGGUAGGCGAGGCAGAUAAGAACGUGGAAGAGAAUCAGGAGGAAACACCUAAGAACAAGAGGGCAAGGAGUUCUAGGGAUAGACGCCAAAGACAGGACAAGAAACAGCAUGGGUCCAAAUCCAGGGAAGCCAAAAGUUUACUAAACACUCCCAGCCCUUAUGGUAUUGAUCGCCCUCAACGUGAGAGGAAAAUAGUAGAGAGGUUGGUUGAAGUGAUUGAUAAGGAGCCAAACAGGAGCUUCGUAGUUGAGAAGGGUCGUGGCACUCCUUUAAAGGAUAUACCAAGUGUGGCACAGAGGUUAACGAGGAAGAAACCUGCUGAUCUUAAAUUUCUUCACAAUGUUCUUUUUGGGAGGAAAGGCAAGACUGUCGAUUUUAAAGGCCAUAUACUUCAGUUCUCUGGAUUUGUGUGGCAUGAGAGCGAUGAAAAGCAGAGAGCCAAGGCAAAGGAGAAGCUUGACAAGUGUAUGAAAGACAUGCUGGUGGAUCUCUGUUGGCUUCUUGCUAUUCCGGUUCCCAAAACAAACAUCAGAAAGGAAGAUAUCGUGGCAAAGCUGUUGGACUUCAUUGCUGAACCUCAUGCUAUGCCUGAUUCUGGCCUCUCUGAUGACCAGGGGUCAAAUUCUAGGAAACGCAAGAGAGGAGGUGGUAGUUCAAGCAAGACUUCGGAUAUCACUCCCAAGAGGUCUAAGAAGAAAUUUGCUGACGACAUAUCUCCAAGGCGAAAGCAAGCUCUGGAGUAUGAUACGGAUGAAGAUGUGAAGUCUGAUAGCGAGGAAGAUGCAGAUGAAUCUCAUGAUGAGCAGGAAGAUGGCUAUGACUCUGCCGAAGAAAAGGCAAGUAGGAAGUCCUCGGAAGUAAAAUAUUCUGCAGGUAGAAAGAAGGCUGCUGCUGGGAGCACCCAUAGGACAAGUCCGCCAAGGACAGCAAGCAAGACUGCAGGCAAAACAUCACCAUCCAAAGGUUCCAAGGAAAAGGAGAGCCCUGAUGAGAGUGCAAAGGUCUUCUCUAGGAAGAAGAAACCCAUCAUAUCAAAGCAUACUCCAAGCUCUGAAAAGGUGAUAGAAGAAAAUAAGUCAUCAGGUAAAGAGGCAAUGAAGAGCAAAGGCGAAUCAGCAGAAGGGGGUCUGCCCAGUAAGGCUGAGUUGAAGAAGACCAUUAUCGGAAUCCUUAAAAAAGUUGACUUCAACACGUCUACUUUUAGCGACAUUCUUAAGAAGCUCGAUGACCAUUACAAGAUUGAUCUGACCGCAAGAAAAGGAGCUAUCAAAAUUAUGAUUCAAGAAGAGCUGACAAAGUUAUCAGAGCAGGAAGACGAUGAUCAAGACAAAAAUGCAGAUGCCAAGAAGAAACAGUCACGGCAUCGAGCAAAGGUCACCGGCUGA
rnacentral:rRNA from 1 species